rnacentral:rRNA from 1 species
CAAAUUUUAAAUCUACCUGGUUUCCAGGUCGAGUUGUAAUUUGAAGAAGUGUUUUUUACUUUCCGGGUUGGGUUAAAUCCUUUGGGAUAAGGUAUCAUGGAGGGUGAGAAUCCCGUGUAUACCAACCGCAGGAUYGUUUAAUAUACACUUUCUAAGAGUCGAGUUGUUUGGGAAUGCAGCUCUAAAUGGGUGGUAAAUUUCACCUAAUGCUAAAUAUAAGCGAGAGACCGAUAGCGAACAAGUACCGUGAGGGAAAGAUGAAAAGAACUUUGAAAAGAGAGUUAAAUAGUACGUGAAAUUGUUGAAAGGGAAACGGUUGAAGUCAGUCAUGCCGGCGGGAAUCAACUUAGGGGAAACUCUGAGUGCACUUCUUCGCUUGGCAGGUUAGCGUCGAUUUUGGAUGUCAUAAAAUGACUGGGGGAAGGUAGCUCUUUCGGGAGUGUUAAGCCCUURGUAGAUGUGAUGUCCGGGAUCGAGGAUUGCAACGGAUACCUUUUGGGCUAACCGCCUAGUCUCUAAUACRAAGUUGGGUUAUGGACAGCACGCUGACUGUGAUCUGAUUUUCGGUUAAAAGAUUAG